CAGCAGCAGCCGCGGGAAAACGAAGGGUGCAAGCGUUACUCGGAAUUACUGGGCGUAAAGCGUGCGUAGGUGGUGGCUUAAGUCCGUUGUGAAAGCCCUGGGCUCAACCUGGGAAUUGCAGUGGAUACUGGGUCACUAGAGUGUGGUAGAGGAUAGUGGAAUUUCCGGUGUAGCAGUGAAAUGCGUAGAGAUCGGAAGGAACAUCUGUGGCGAAGGCGACUAUCUGGGCCAACACUGACACUGAGGCACGAAAGCGUGGGGAGCAAACAGGAUUAGAUACCCCAGUAGUCCCUGUCUCUUAUAC
rnacentral:rRNA from 1 species